rnacentral:tRNA from 1 species
GGAGAGGUGGCUGAGUGGUCGAAAGCGCUCCCCUGCUAAGGGAGUGUACCUUCACCGGUACCGAGGGUUCGAAUCCCUUCCUCUCCGCCA